rnacentral:rRNA from 1 species
UACGUAGGGUGCGAGCGUUAAUCGGAAUUACUGGGCGUAAAGCGUGCGUAGGCGGUUCAUUAAGUUCGUCGUGAAAGCCCCGGGCUCAACCUGGGAAUUGCAUUCGAGACUGCAUAGCUAGGAUGCGGAAGAGGGAAGUGGAAUUUCCGGUGUAGCGGUGAAAUGCGUAGAUAUCGGAAGGAACAUCAGUGGCGAAAGCGACUUCCUGGUCCAGCAUCGACGUUCAGGCACGAAAGCGUGGGGAGCAAACAGG